CACAAGCACCCAAAUGGCAGAAUGCAGAAGACUGAAGUGGAUGGAAGCCCACAUCUUGGUCUGUUUGCUUUAACAGACUUUAAAGAAGGUGAUGAAAUUACCUGCAAUUACAGAGGAGGAGACUGGCCUUGGUGUAGCAAGAUUUUCUAAAUGUCUAUUAAAUAUGCAGAUUAUGGAGGAGGACACUGCUGAGAGCAAUGGCCAGGAGAAACAGCAGCCAUCACAGUCUACACCUUUUCUGGAUCAUAAAUAUCAGAAUUGUGUAGCUUGCUGGCACUUUUAAUCCUGCCUUUCAAUCACGCCUCUCCAUAAUUUCCAACAUAAGCAUCCCCUGGGACUCAGUAGGUUCCCUACUGCAUCUUCUCCAAGAAAACCGAGUACUCUUAGUUACUAUUUGGUACAUAUGCACAAACUGCAGUCAGAGUUUUCAUUCGUGAGACGUGAAAUGUAAAACAUCUGCUCUGAUAAAGAGGAAGGCUCGGGAAGGAAAUGAGGUCCAUGCAGUGAAGAGACAUAUGAAGACCUUCAUCAUGUCAUGUCGUGUCCCAGGGAAGUUGGCCUGUGAAAACUGCAUUAGAUCUGAGUCUUUAUAUCUUAAAGAUAGAGACUGGCAAAGUGUCAAAUUCUAUGUCUAUAACUGCACUGUAGCUUACAAAAGAGAUAUAAACAAAGAUUAAAUAACACUUUGAUAGUAACACUGUACAUCUAUAUUACAGAUACUGUACAUCAUAACAUCUGUAGUAA
ensembl:lncRNA